rnacentral:lncRNA from 1 species
UCCAAUAAAAAUUUAAAAAAAUUCAGCGGGUUGAGUUUGGUGCCCAAACUUUCCAGAUCAAAAAUUAAAUAUUUAAGGACAUUUGAGAUUUAAUUUUGUGAUUUUUUGAGAUCAGGAACACCUCGAACGAAGUUGUCAAGUUACUCCACAGUUUUUCGGGUUUUCUGUUUUCAGCAAUUUUUAUUGAUUCUUAGCUGUAGG